ACCAAACUACCAUAAUACAAUAAAAAUGAGAAUAAUAUUGAGAAAUGAACCUUUUAUUGACGAACAAAGCUGAAAAAUGCAAAUUAAUCGGGCUAAACAAAACAAUAAUACUUGAACUGAAAUAUCCAAAUUUACAAACCGGAACCUCGAAUCGGCACUGGAAAACUCAAAUCCCAAACGCGGCCCCUAUCAAACUCCUCCUUCAAUCCCAAUUCAAUCUCGCUUACACGCUGCCCUAAACCCUCAACGCACUAACCCCUCUGCAAUUACAGUGGUUGAAACCUCUUGUCCGUUAAUUGCAGCAGCAGCACGAUUUCUUCACCCCCGUAUUUCCGAUGAUUAUGUACUUGAAGAGAUAAAAGACAUUUUCCGAUGAAGAUGAUUAUCAUUGGAACUGAGUUACCUGGCCGGAGAAAUUAUACAAUAGAAAUAUAGCGAAAAGGAGAAAUGGAUAACACAAAAGUAAUUUAAGGAGUGACGUCCAGAUUUUGUUUAGAGAUUUUUGGAGGAAACGUAUUUAAGCGAGGUAUCUUCUUUCAGAAAAUAACCCCCAAUACCUCCCAGCAUUCCCAUAGCAGUAGCCAUGGAAGAGUUGAGUGAACAAAAUUAGAGAGCUAUACCCAACAGCAGAUUCAACUUUUAAUACAUAUAUUCCCACAAUAGGAACUAGCAAUCUUUAAAUAGAUUACAGAAAUAUUUCUAGUCAAUCAAUUAGCUGCAACAAAUCCAAAAGAGAGCUUAAAAUCUAGCGAACCAAAAUGGAAAUGGACUAUGUAAAAUGGAAUAACUGUUCGUUGAAAAACGUCAACAACUUGUGAAAAGGGGUAAAAUCUGACAUGAAGACGUAGAUAGGAGAGGAUUUAUG
rnacentral:lncRNA from 1 species